rnacentral:rRNA from 1 species
CUGACACAGGUGCUGCAUGGCUGUCGUCAGCUCGUGUCGUGAGAUGUUGGGUUAAGUCCCGUAACGAGCGCAACCCUUGUCCUUAGUUACCAGCACGUUAUGGUGGGCACUCUAAGGAGACUGCCGGUGACAAACCGGAGGAAGGUGGGGAGUGACGUCAAGUCAUCAUGGCCCUUACGGCCUGGGCUACACACGUGCUACAAUGGUCGGUACAAAGGGUUGCCAAGCCGCGAGGUGGAGCUAAUCCCAUAAAACCGAUCGUAGUCCGGAUCGCAGUCUGCAACUCGACUGCGUGAAGUCGGAAUCGCUAGUAAUCGUGAAUCAGAAUGUCACGGUGAAUACGUUCCCGGGCCUU